rnacentral:ncRNA from 1 species
GGUUAAGCAAAUAAGCGUACAUGGUGAAUGCCUUGGCAGUCAGAGGCGACGAAGGACGUGCUAAUCUGCGAAAAGCGACGGCAAGCUGAUAUGAAGCGCUACAACCGUCGAUCUCCGAAUGGGGAAACCCGAUGCAUUUUAUGCAUCAUUAUUAGUUGAAUUAAAUAGGCUAAUAAAGCAAACCAAGGGAACUGAAACAUCUAAGUACCUUGAGGAAAAGAAAUCAACCGAGAUUCCCCUAGUAGUGGCGAGCGAAAAGGGAAAAGCCCAGAACUAUAAUCAAUUCUAUAUUAUAGCAGAAUGAUUUGGAAAAUUCAGCGAUACAAGGUGAUAGCCCCGUAUGCGAAAUAAUUUUUAUUGUGAGUUCAAAAAGUAGAGCGGGACACGAGAAAUCCUGUUUGAAUAUGGGGGGGACCAUCCUCCAAGGCUAAAUACUCCUGACUGACCGAUAGUGAACUAGUACCGUAAGGG